CUACGGGGGGCACCAGUAGGGAAUUUUCGGCAAUGGGCGCAAGCCUGACCGAGCAACGCCGCGUGAGUGAUUAAGGCCUUCGGGUUGUAAAGCUCUGUUGUAAAGGAAGAACGAUUGGGAUAGGAAAUGAUCUUAAUGUGACGGUACUUUACCAGAAAGCCACGGCUAACUACGUGCCAGCAGCCGCGGUAAUACGUAGGUGGCAAGCGGUAUCCGGAAUUAUUGGGCGUAAAGGGUGCGUAGGCGGUUUAUUAAGUCUGUGUGGAAAGUUCGGGGCUCAACCCCGUAUGGGCACAGAAACUGAUAGACGCGAGUGCAGGAGAGGGCAGUGGAAUUCCAUGUGUAGCGGUAACAUGCGUAGAUAUAUGGAGGAACACCGGUGGCGAAGGCGGCUGCCUGGCCUGUUACUGACGCUGAGGCACGAAAGCGUGGGGAGCAAAUAGGAUUAGAUACCCUCGUAGUC
rnacentral:rRNA from 1 species